CAACUCAGCUGGAGGAUUAAGAGAGUAGAAGGAGCAUAUUGGGAUCUCCGAGAGGAGCGUGAGGUGCUUAGGAUCAACGUCCGGGGAGGAGCGUGCGACCUAGACAGCGCCGUCGAGGGCGGCCGGCGGAUGAUGAUGACGGACGAAAAGCGCCGCCGCCGGCCCGAGUAGCCGCCGCAGCGCGUGAUAUACGAAGGAGCCUUCGCCCUCUAGCAGCGGUCGCUCCAGCUCUUGAACGUCUUCUUUUGGGCGGGACGACGGCGGCUGCUGCGGUACCGGUCCGGGUGCCUCUAGCUGCUCCUGGAGGUGUCGGCGGUCGAGCGGCAUAUGCCGGCGCUCUGGUACUUCGCGGAGAAGCGGAGGUUGCAGGAGCAGAGGCCUGAGGUCCCGGAGCCGCGGCUUUAGCGUUUCUUGGAACACGAACGCCCACAGUUCAGACAUUGAAACGUACUACUACCAUUACACCUCGAUACCCUGAACAGGUCGUUGAAAAAGGAGAGUCUCUUCCUACAACCCGUUUUGGCACGAGUUCGAACACAAGACUUCGAUGUUCUAGAAUUGUUACGACAAUAGUAGAGGUGAGAUUGACCACUAAACUGGUUCCUUGUGGAAAGUUUCAAGGUCCGACAUCAGAAGUGACUAUAGUGGAACCUUUUCCGUCAACUCAAACUACUAAUGACGGUGUUGGUAGUCGGUGGGUAACGAAAGUAAUUCAGACUUCAGGCACCAGAAAAACCGUCACAGAAAACACUAAAACCGGGACUCAAAUGACAAAACCUACAGCUACCUCUCCUUGGUGUAUGUCCUUAACACCGUAGCUAGUCAUUACUGUUGGGUCGCGAUCAGAGGACACAGCUACUACUCGCUGACCUCAAGGUCCUACCACUGAAUCAACAUAAGAGACUUCAAGUACCUUACUGACUCGACUUACUACCUUUUGGUUCUUUCCAAUUCUUGCGGUCCGGAAUGAGAAAGAAAGACCUUCUUCUGUGAAGGAGUAAACCGUGUAUACAGUCUCCACCCUAACAGUGUGUCCAGUUCGGUGGUUUCCAAGAAUUUAAAUUUGGGAACUUUCUCCGGUACUUUCUUGGUCCUCUUAAAGAAUACUCACUAAAGAGAUUCAAACUGGCGGGGGGAGAGAACGUAAACCGAAAGGUUCGAAACCUAUUCAAGUCCUUACUUAACUCUGCUAAGGGACAGCGACCAAGAUGACUACUGCACGUUUCCGACCAUCUAAAUCGAUAAUCGUAAUUACUUUGAGACCCACUACCCUUUGAGCUUCUUUAACUGUUUUUCGAGGAUGCUGUAAAGCGUUCACCAAGGUCCCGACAAGACUUAGGAUACCGACGUUACAAACCACCAUAACAUCCAGUCCUCCAACACUUUCGUACGAGCCCCUUUAAAGUAGGCGAAAUAGUCAAGAAGAUAAAGCUAAGACAGCUCAGAGAGGGACAACUCGGAAACCUCGGACCACUAAACUUCGGUCUCUUGAGUUCUAUACUACGUGUCUAGUCACACAAACCUAGAUUCGAAGUUUUGUUUGACCUCGUCCGUUUUUAGAAAUACCAGCCGAGACCCCGCGAGCCCACACUUAAAGACUUCUUGGACCGUGACUACCCGUAAAGAACGUCGGUCUUACCUUUCGACUGACACUGUCUACUACUACAAUAACUUUUCUCGUUAGAGUCAGCGGUCAAGGAAAAGGCACUGACCUUGUAACCCGUCGGGUUCAGCUGACAACGACGAUGCCGACGGUACCGCUAAUUGGGAUUCGAAGUACAGCUCCGGGAAGUCUUGUCCCGUUCGGGACUCUGGCUUUUACAGAAAUUACUACGGAAAACCCUUUUGGAACUACGACAACAGUUACGGGAACUGUUACACUGACGUUCUUACAUGUAUCUGAGGGCUACACAUAUAAAGGUCUUCGGUGAAGAUCUUAGACCUUGAGAACCACGAUUUACGUUAUGUGUUUACCAGUAUGGAGUGAACUGUCUCUUGAUACCCCGCAGAUCUCUAGGUGGACUUUUCGUCCGUGGAUACACAUGACAUGUAAGUAAAGGAGUAUUAUAACUAGUGACGGACUGGACCCGAUCCAGACUUAAACUCCCAAAUGAACUCUUCUGAGGGUGACUUCAUUUACCAAAGGACAGUUUAGGAUCACGUAUACAUCGACGUCGUGCUUGACGACCACUACGUGUUCGAUCCCUAGUCGAACUUGCACAAUAACUUACGGAAGUACCUCUGUUCACACUCUGUAAGGUUCUAACAUAAUGGACCCGGGCAGAAUUCAAACUCCUAAUAAAGAGGUUGGCACACUUCGUCGACUGCAUAUGAAAGGGUCUUCUGAGCUACUGAUCGAGACCACGAGGUAAGACCAGACGUGGUUUCGCCAAAGGUGCUGGAGAACUUAAGAGCAGCUGUCUAGGUUCAGUCGAAUUGAAAUAAAAUCGACGAAGCUAUGAUUCCCGUCUCUGUAAACCUUAUGGGUAUGGACUGACCCGGUUUUGAGGUUUGUUUCACCGACGACUUCGACAACUGUUCCACUAACAAGGACUUAAGGUUGGUUUUGUCCCCCAAUUCUAUCAAUGUCUACUCUUCCGUUGAUCAUAUAGCAGACGUAGACAACUACUACGACCACAGUAACUCCUCGAAUAGUGCUUCGAUCUUGUUUAGAGGUUUUGUGACGGUGGCCCCAAGGUGUACUUGGGUUAUGUCAAACUCUUCCUACUACUGUGGUUAAAGGUAUACCUGCACUAUCGACCAAAACGUUUGUACUCCCGCUCCUUAAUGUCGUAAGGACUUCACCUGUUUGACUUCCGAUUUAAGUAUCGGCCGUCCUAAUAGGGACGGUAACGGUGUCGUUGGCGUUACCGGUGACCGGAGCAGACAGAUCUCGAAAUGUUUCAGGAACGGCCGCCCGUGUUCCAACUUCUGAUGGCGUUGUGCAAACGUUUGGACCGUUAGGGGGAGAAGAGGUAACGGCUCGGCCAGGGUGGGUUCUGGUAGUUCGUGUUCCUGAACAGCACCUGCCAGACCCUGGCCACCUGGCAUUGUCCGUUGUAGUGCAAUGUCCUCGAGGACCUUACCGAGUUCCUCUUCCCCAACUUGCGUAUGUCGUAUAGCACGCCGUGCAGCGACGACAUGUUGAGGUACAAGGGGUCCGUGUUCCUCGCCAACCUGUCCUUCCACCAGCUGCAACGAUCCCUCCACCGGUUCUACCUCCACGGUAGCAUAGCCGCGGUAGACCUACAACACCAUCGGACACUCCUACUGCUACUGUUACUGCAACUGUAGGGUGAGCAUAGACAGAUGAAGGCAACUUUCCGAAGGGAGACUUAACUGUAGUGGAGCACAGGGUAGAAAGGUUCGAGUCAAGUCUAGGAGCCCUUUUACUCCACAACUUGAACUAUGGCGUGGUGGAAUAUUAACUACGUACUGUGGCAACUUGACCUUACCGAACAGACAAAAGCACAAAUCGAGCGAUUCCUCACGUAGACGUUAUGUGUUCAAACGAACAACCUUCUUGCGACGUCUACUCGAGGGCUCGACUACAAAUUGAACUGUCCGGGAAUCCAUUACACUGAUUUUGGGGGAACAGGGGAGGGUUCGAUAACAUGAAGGAACGGUUUGAGUACCGUUCCGUGUGUUGUUGUCCAGACCAUGUGUUACUGUACGACAUAUCUUGGAUACUGACUCCGUAUCCCUUACUGAAAGUAAGAGAGAAAUAUAAGAUAGAAGCAGCCCAAAACUCAGAAUAAAUUGAAGUGUGGAACAUUGUGUCCGUUCUUGGGAAAGAAACUGACUAAGUAAAAUUUGAAGAAAUUUUGAAAUA
rnacentral:rRNA from 1 species